UCAGAACGAACGCUGGCGGCGCGUUUAAGCAUGCAAGUCGAGCGGUAACUACCCUUCGGGGUAGCUAGAGCGGCGAACGGGUGAGUAACACGUAGAUUAUCUGCCUUGAGGUUGGGGAUAGCCUGUGGAAACACAGGGUAAUACCGAAUAAGCCCUAUGGGGGAAAGGUGCUAAGGCACCGCCUUAAGAUGAGUCUGCGGCUCAUUAGUUAGUUGGUGGGGUAACGGCCUACCAAGGCGACGAUGAGUAGCCGGCCUGAGAGGGUGGACGGCCACACUGGGACUGAGACACGGCCCAGACUCCUACGGGAGGCAGCAGCUAAGAAUCUUCCGCAAUGGGCGCAAGCCUGACGGAGCGACGCCGCGUGAACGAUGAAGGCCGUGAGGUUGUAAAGUUCUUUUCUUACUGAAGAAUAAUUACCCGAGGGAAUGCGGGUAAGAUGACGUUAGGUAAGGAAUAAGCCCCGGCUAAUUACGUGCCAGCAGCCGCGGUAACACGUAAGGGGCAAGCGUUGUUCGGAAUUAUUGGGCGUAAAGGGCGUGUAGGCGGUUUUACAAGUCUGGUGUGAAAUACCGCAGCUUAACUGCGGGGACGCGCUGGAAACUGUAAGACUAGAGUACAGGAGGGGGACCUGGAAUCCCUGGUGUAGGGGUGAAAUCUGUAGAUAUCAGGAAGAACACCGGUGGCGAAGGCGAGGUCCUGGCCAUGUACUGACGCUGAGGCGCGAAAGCGUGGGGAGCGAACAGGAUUAGAUACCCUGGUAGUCCACGCCGUAAACGAUGUGCACUAGGUGCUUGGGGGUAGCCUUGAGUGCCGUAGCUAACGCGUUAAGUGCACCGNCUGGGGAGUAUGCUCGCAAGGGUGAAACUCAAAGGAAUUGACGGGGGCCCGCACAAGCGGUGGAGCAUGUGGUCUAAUUCGAUGAUACGCGCGAAA
rnacentral:rRNA from 1 species